rnacentral:sRNA from 1 species
UUCUCACCCCCGGACAGCGAUUGCAGCAGAAAUCCUUUUUGCCGCCCGUGUAAUGCAGGUGUGGUUUUUGAAGCGGCCGAGCGGAAAAACACCGCGGGAACAAAACAGCAGCGACAAAAAGAUUGGAGCGGAAAGCGCGGUGCUGC